rnacentral:rRNA from 1 species
UCGAGAGGCUUUGGCAAUGGGGGAAACCCUGACCAAGCGACGCCGCGUGGAGGAUGAAGGCCCUUGGGUUGUAAACUCCUUUUGCAGGGGAAGCAAUGCGAUCAGGUGAAUAAUCUGGUCGUUUGACGGUACCCUGCGAAUAAGCUCCGGCUAACUCCGUGCCAGCAGCCGCGGUAAGACGAAGGGGGCGAGCGUUGUUCGGAAUCACUGGGCGUAAAGGGCGCGUAGGCGGCGCAGUUAGUCAGGCGUGAAAGCCCCGAGCUCAACUUGGGAAUAGCGCUUGAUACUAUUGUGCUAGAGAGCGGGAGAGGAUGGUGGAAUUCCCAGUGUAGAGGUGAAAUUCGUAGAUAUUGGGAAGAACACCGGUGGCGAAGGCGGCCAUCUGGACCGUUUCUGACGCUGAGGCGCGAAAGCGUGGGGAGCAAA